rnacentral:rRNA from 1 species
ACGCACGCUGGCGGCGUGCUUAACACAUGCAAGUCGAACGGAAAGGCCCUGCUUUUGUGGGGUGCUCGAGUGGCGAACGGGUGAGUAACACGUGAAUAACCUGCCCUUGACUUUGGGAUAACUUCAGGAAACUGGGGCUAAUACCGGAUAGGAGCUCCUGCUGCAUGGUGGGGGUUGGAAAGUUUCGGCGGUUGGGGAUGGACUCGCGGCUUAUCAGCUUGUUGGUGGGGUAGUGGCUUACCAAGGCUUUGACGGGUAGCCGGCCUGAGAGGGUGACCGGCCACAUUGGGACUGAGAUACGGCCCAGACUCCUACGGGAGGCAGCAGUGGGGAAUAUUGCACAAUGGGCGGAAGCCUGAUGCAGCAACGCCGCGUGCGGGAUGACGGCCUUCGGGUUGUAAACCGCUUUCGCCUGUGACGAAGCGUGAGAGACGGUAAUGGGUAAAGAAGCACCGGCUAACUACGUG